rnacentral:misc_RNA from 1 species
GAUGAAGAACGUAGCGAAAUGCGAUAAGUAAUGCGAAUUGCAGAAUUCAGUGAAUCAUCGAAUCUUUGAACGCACAUUGCGCCCGCUAGUAUUCUGGCGGGCAUGCCUGUCCGAGCGUCAUUUCAACCCUCAAGCCCCCGGGCUUGGUGUUGGAGAUCGGCGAGCCCCCCGGGGCGCGCCGUCUCCCAAAUAUAGUGGCGGUCCCGCUGUAGCUUCCUCUGCGUAGUAGCACACCUCGCACUGGGAAACAGCGUGGCCACGCCGUAAAACCCCCCACUUCUGAAAGGUUGACCUCGGAUCAGGUAGGAAUACCCGCUGAACUUAAGCAUAUCAAUAAGCGGAGGA